rnacentral:rRNA from 1 species
AUGCACCAUCUCCUUGUCGGCUGUUCUUUCUCUCGCCAAGUUUGGCACGAGAUCCUCGGCUGGGCAUGUGUGCCCAUCGGCCUCCCCGACCCUAACACGUCUUUUCAGCUCUGGUGGAGAUCCUCGCUCAACCUUGCGCCGGCAUCCAUGCACAAAGGUCUAUCCUCCCUCAUCAUCCUAUCGGCUUGGUGGAUUUGGAAGCACCGCAACGCUUGCAUUUUUUAUGGAGCUGCACCAUCGAUUACCUUCACCUCCGACACCAUCAAGGACGAGGCGCACCUCUGGGCCAGGGCGGGCGCUACCGGUCUACAAAACAUUAUCCUCAGCGCUUAG